rnacentral:lncRNA from 10 species
UGUCUGCUAGCCUGAAUUUCUCCAACACUGAGUUUUCAACGUCCACCCUGCUCCCCUCCACCCGCCCCACAAAGUAUCAGACAGUGUUUUCCCAAUGGCAAGUUAGCUCAUGCAAAAGCAAAGAGAAUCCUGAUGCCAUCCUGCCUAUCCACACACUGACAGAAACCAUCCAAGAAGCCUUGGAAAAGUGUCAGAUUCCCGAUGAUGCUCAAGAUGCUUUUGGCCGAAGACCAUAAGUGCUGAGAACUUCCUUGCUUCCUCUCAACUCACUCUGGGAUCAUCUUUCAUAACUCUAAGCUUUUCUCCAUCAUAUGUUUCCAACCUACACUGCAACUCAAGGUAAUCUGCAUAUUUAUAAAUCAUUAAGUCAUCAACGAUUCCUUAUAUUUCACCUAAAACCACUACUGUGGCAAAUGCAAGAAGUCUUUUUUUAUUUUUUGAGAUGGAGUCUCAAAAAUAAAUGAAUAGAUAAAAUAAACAUGAAAAAAAAGCUCAGCUAGAAUUACAGUAUUUUAACUGUAAGGUGA